rnacentral:rRNA from 1 species
GAUGAACGCUGGCGGCGUGCCUAAUACAUGCAAGUCGAGCGAACAGACGAGGAGCUUGCUCCUCUGACGUUAGCGGCGGACGGGUGAGUAACACGUGGAUAACCUACCUAUAAGACUGGGAUAACUUCGGGAAUCCGGAGCUAAUACCGGAUAAUAUAUUGAACCGCAUGGUUCAAUAGUGAAAGACGGUUUUGCUGUCACUUAUAGAUGGAUCCGCGCCGCAUUAGCUAGUUGGUAAGGUAACGGCUUACCAAGGCAACGAUGCGUAGCCGACCUGAGAGGGUGAUCGGCCACACUGGAACUGAGACACGGUCCAGACUCCUACGGGAGGCAGCAGUAGGGAAUCUUCCGCAAUGGGCGAAAGCUUGACGGAGCAACGCCGCGUGAGUGAUGAAGGUCUUCGGAUCGUAAAACUCUGUUAUUAGGGAAGAACAAAUGUGUAAGUAACUAUGCACGUCUUGACGGUACCUAAUCAGAAAGCCACGGCUAACUACGUG